UCGAGAAUCUUCGGCAAUGGGGGAAACCCUGACCGAGCGACGCCGCGUGCGAGAUGAAGGCCUUCGGGUUGUAAAUCGCUGUCAGAGGGGAGGAAAUGCCGGAGGGUUCUCCCUCCGGUUUGACCUAGCCUCAGAGGAAGGACGGGCUAAGUUCGUGCCAGCAGCCGCGGUAAGACGAACCGUCCAAACGUUAUUCGGAAUCACUGGGCUUAAAGGGUGCGUAGGCGGUCCCGCAAGUUGGGUGUGAAAGCCCUCGGCUCAACCGAGGAAUUGCGCCCAAAACUGCGGGACUUGAGGGAGACAGAGGUGAGCGGAACUUAGGGUGGAGCGGUGAAAUGCGUUGAGAUCCUAGGGAACACCAGUAGCGAAAGCGGCUCACUGGGUCUCUUCUGACGCUGAGGCACGAAAGCUAGGGGAGCGAAGAG
rnacentral:rRNA from 1 species